CCUGGAUGAUCCUGCCAGUAGUAUAUGCUUGUCUCAAAGAUUAAGCCUUGCACAUGUAAGUACACACGGCGGUACAGUGAAACUGCGAAUGGCUCAUUAAAUCAGUUAUGGUUCCUUUGAUCGCUCCAUCUGUUACUUGGAUAACUGUGGUAAUUCUAGAGCUAAUACAUGCCGACGAUCAUGGACCUCCUGAGAUGCGUGGAUUUAUCAGACCAAGACCAAUCGGCCGAUCGCACGUCCAGUGACGGCGACGAUGCAUUCGGAUGUCUGCUCUAUCAACUUUCGAUGGUACUUUCUGUGCCUACCAUGGUGACCACGGGAAAUGGGGAAUCGGAGUUCGAUUCCGGAGAGGGAGGCCUGAGAAAUGGCUACCACAUCCAAGGAAGGCAGCAGGCGCGCAAAUUACCCACUACCAUAGGUUGUGACAAAAAAUAACAAUACAGGACUCUUUCGAGGCACUGUAAUUGGAAUGAGUACACUUUAAAUCCUUUAACGAGUACCCAUUGGAGGGCAAGUCUGGUGCCAGCAGGCGCAGUAAUUCCAUCUCCAAUAGCAUAUAUUAAAGUUGCUGCAGUUAAAAGCUCAUAGUUGGAUCUUGGGAUCGAGCUGGCGGUCCCCCGUGAGGCGAACAACCUCCUCUACCAACCCUGCCUCUCGGUGCCACCUUGAUGCUCUUGUCUGAGUGUCCUGGGGGUCCGAAGCGUUUACUUAGAAAAAGAUUGUUCAAAGCAGGCCGGUCACCUGAAAUAAUUGAGCUAGGAAUAAUGGAAUAGGACUCUGGUUCUAUUUAGUUGGUUUUCGGAACUGGGGCCACGAUUAAGAGGGACGGCCGGGGCAUUCGUAUUGUGGCGCUACAGGUGAAAUUCCUGGACCGGCGCAAGAUGAACCAAAGCGAAAGCAUUACCCAAGAAUAUUUUCAUUAAUCAAGAACAAAAGUCUGAGGUUCGAAGAUGAUCUGAUACCGUCGUAGUUCCGACCAUAAACAAUAUCGACUAGCGAUCUUGCAGCAUUAUUCCCAUGACUCGCCGAGCAGCUUCCUGGAAACCAAAGUCUUUUGGGUUCUGGGGGGCGUAUGGUUGCAAAGCUGAAACUUAAAGGAAUUGAUGGAAGGGCACCACCAGGAGUGGAGCCUGCAGCUUAAUUUAACUCAACACCAGAAACCUCACCCGGCCCGGACACAAAAAGGAUUGAUGGAUUGAUAGCUCUUUCUGUGGGUGGUGGUGCAUGGCCGUUCUUAGUUGGUGGAGCGAAUUGUCUGGUUAAUUCUGAUAACGAACAAGACGCCUGCAUGCUAACUAGUUAUGCGACACUCCCCCGCCCCACCCCCAGCAGUCAGUGUUCAACUUAGCGGGAAAAGUGGCGUUCAGCCACAUGAGAUCAAGCAAUAACAGCUCUUGGAUGAUCUGAUACCGUCGUAGUUCCGACCAUUGUCUGGUUAAUUUUGAUAACGAACAAGACGCCUCCAUGCUAACUAGUUAUGCGACACUCCCCCGCCCCCACCCCGAGCAGUCAGCGUUCAACUUAGCGGGAAAAGUGGCGUUCAGCCACAUGAGAUCAAGCAAUAAUAGGUCUGUGAUGCCCUUGGAUGUCUGGGACUGCACGCUUGCUACACUGAACAGAUCAGUGUGUCUACCCUUCGCCGAUAGGUGCGGCUAACCCGUUGAACCCCGUUCGUGCUAGGGAUUGGGGAUUGCAAUUAUUUCCCAUGAAUGAG
rnacentral:rRNA from 1 species